ensembl:snRNA U6 U6 spliceosomal RNA
GUGCUUGCUUUGGCAGUACAUGUACUAAAACUGGAAUAAUACAGCGAUGAUUAGCGUGGCCAGUGCACAAGGAACAUGCAAAUUUGUGAAGCAAUUUAUAUUAAA